rnacentral:rRNA from 1 species
UACAGAGAGUGCAAACGUUGUUCGGAAUUACUGGGCGUAAAGAGCACGUAGGCGGCAUCGUAAGUGUGGGGUGAAAUCCCGCGGCUCACCCUUGGAACUGCCCGUGAUACUGCGAUGCUCGAGUGUGGUAGAGGUGAGCGGAAUUCCUAGUGGAGCGGUGAAAUUCGUAGAUAUUAGGAAGAACACCGGUGGCGAAGGCGGCUCACUGGACCGCUACUGACGCUGAGGUGCGAAAGCGAGGGGAGCAAACAGG